GGGCGCGUAGCUCAGCGGGAGAGCGCUUGACUCACAUUCAAGAGGCCGUGGGUUCGAUACCCUCCGCGCCCACCA
rnacentral:tRNA from 1 species